CUAUAGCCUGGUACUGUAAUGUUUAUGGUAAGGUGCCAAAGUGUAUGAAGGGUUCGCCCACGUCCUUUGAAGCUGAACCUAAUUACGGCGCUUGGUCCACUGUGGUCCUAGUAGCAAUACGAAGACCCGCUUAGCCUAGUCUCUAGGGACUAGUCUGAAACUUUGGUCUCAAAUCAGGUAGGAAGACCCGCUGAACUUAA
rnacentral:misc_RNA from 1 species